GAUUGAACGCUGGCGGCAUGCUUUACACAUGCAAGUCGAACGGCAGCGCGGGGGCAACCCUGGCGGCGAGUGGCGAACGGGUGAGUAAUGCAUCGGAACGUAUCCUGUAAUGGGGGAUAACUAAUCGAAAGAUUAGCUAAUACCGCAUACGCUCGGGAGAGGAAAGUGGGGGAUCGCAAGACCUCACGUUAUAGGAGCGGCCGAUGUCUGAUUAGCUAGUUGGUAAGGUAAUGGCUUACCAAGGCGACGAUCAGUAGCUGGUCUGAGAGGACGAUCAGCCACACUGGAACUGAGACACGGUCCAGACUCCUACGGGAAGCAGCAGUGGGGAAUUUUCCGCAAUGGGCGAAAGCCUGACGGAGCAAUACCGCGUGAGGGACGAAGGCUUUUUGGGUCGUAAACCUCUUUUUCUCAAGGAAGACACAGGACGGUACUUGAGGAAUAAGCAUCGGCUAACUCUGUGCCAGCAGCCGCGGUAAU
rnacentral:rRNA from 1 species